UACGGAGGGUGCAAGCGUUAUCCGGAUUCACUGGGUUUAAAGGGUGCGUAGGUGGGUCUGUAAGUCAGUGGUGAAAUCUCCGAGCUUAACUCGGAAACUGCCAUUGAUACUAUAGGUCUUGAAUUAUCUGGAGGUAAGCGGAAUAUGUCAUGUAGCGGUGAAAUGCUUAGAUAUGACAUAGAACACCAAUUGCGAAGGCAGCUUACUACGGAUAUAUUGACACUGAGGCACGAAAGCGUGGGGAUCAAACAGG
rnacentral:rRNA from 2 species